UACGUAGGGAGCAAGCGUUGUCCGGAAUCAUUGGGCGUAAAGCGCGCGUAGGUGGCUUCGUAAGUCCGUUGUGAAAGUCAAAGGCUCAACCUUUGAAAGCCGAUGGAUACUGCGGAGCUAGAGUACGGAAGAGGCGAGUGGAAUUCCUGGUGUAGCGGUGGAAUGCGCAGAUAUCAAGAGGAACACCAAUAGCGAAGGCAGCUCGCUGGGCCGUAACUGACGCUGAGGAGCGAAAGCAUGGGGAGCGAACGGG
rnacentral:rRNA from 1 species